AGAGUUUGAUCCUGGCUCAGGAUGAACGCUAGCGAUAGGCUUAACACAUGCAAGUCGAGGGGCAGCAUGAUCUUAGCUUGCUAAGGUCGAUGGCGACCGGCGCACGGGUGCGUAACGCGUAUGCAACUUGCCUUACAGAGGGGGAUAACCCGUUGAAAGACGGACUAAAACCGCAUACACUUGUAUUAUUGCAUGAUAUUACAAGGAAAUAUUUAUAGCUGUAAGAUAGGCAUGCGUCCCAUUAGCUGGUUGGUGAGGUAACGGCUCACCAAGGCGACGAUGGGUAGGGGAACUGAGAGGUUUAUCCCCCACACUGGUACUGAGACACGGACCAGACUCCUACGGGAGGCAGCAGUGAGGAAUAUUGGUCAAUGGGCGAGAGCCUGAACCAGCCAAGUCGCGUGAAGGAAGACAGUCCUAAGGAUUGUAAACUUCUUUUAUACGGGAAUAACGGGCGAUACGAGUAUUGCAUUGAAUGUACCGUAAGAAUAAGCAUCGGCUAACUCCGUGCCAGCAGCCGCGGUAAUACGGAGGAUGCGAGCGUUAUCCGGAUUUAUUGGGUUUAAAGGGUGCGUAGGUUGUUCGGUAAGUCAGCGGUGAAACCUGAGCGCUCAACGUUCAGCCUGCCGUUGAAACUGCCGGGCUUGAGUUCAGUGGCGGCAGGCGGAAUUCGUGGUGUAGCGGUGAAAUGCAUAGAUAUCACGAGGAACUCCGAUUGCGAAGGCAGCUUGCCAUACUGCGACUGACACUGAAGCACGAAGGCGUGGGUAUCAAACAGGAUUAGAUACCCUGGUAGUCCACGCAGUAAACGAUGAUUACUAGGAGUUUGCGAUAUACCGUCAAGCUUCCACAGCGAAAGCGUUAAGUAAUCCACCUGGGGAGUACGCCGGCAACGGUGAAACUCAAAGGAAUUGACGGGGGCCCG
rnacentral:rRNA from 1 species